AAGCAUCAGGUUACUGUAUUACACAGAGAUAUUUACAAAUGACAACAUAUCAUUGCACUGAUAUUUACAAUCAGAUAUAUAUCUGGGACUUACAUUAUACAUUUUUUUCUAUGAAGUACAUGCCCAGCCAAAUACCCCUCAAAGAAGAGGGAUGUCUCGACUCCACUCGCAUUUCACAAGGGAGAAAGACGUUAUAAACAAUCUCCACACAAUUAUAAUUAAUUGAGGGAGUUUGAGUCCGUAGGGACUCGAACCAUUACCCUCAUAGUCAUGCUUGACUUUAAGGGCAAUCGUUCACCACCGGGCCACA
rnacentral:lncRNA from 1 species